rfam:Beta vulgaris subsp. vulgaris Bvchr5.sca023.con0175.1, whole genome shotgun sequence.
AACCUAUUAGCCCAAUUGGCAAAACAUUGAGUAAGACACAACGAUGUAUGUAGGUUCGAAUCCUACAUAGGUUU